UACGUAGGAUGCAAGCGUUGUCCGGAAUUAUUGGGCGUAAAGAGCGAGCAGACGGUUUGGAAAGUUGGACGUGAAAUUUUAGGGCUUAACCCUAAAGGGUCGUCCAAAACUCCCAGACUAGAGUGCAGGAGAGGAAAGCGGAAUUCCCGGUGUAGUGGUGAAAUGCGUAGAUAUCGGGAGGAACACCAGAGGCGAAGGCGGCUUUCUGGCCUGUAACUGACGCUGAGGCGCGAAGGCUGGGGUAGCGAACAGG
rnacentral:rRNA from 1 species